UAAAAAUAUCAAUUUUGAGCCUGAUCUAUUCCAAGUAUUAUCUUACUAAGAUAGAAUACUAAGAUUCUUAGUAUCGUGAUGAUAUGUUUAUAUUGUUCAUCUAUUUCAAAUACGAGACAGGUCGUAUAACUAAAUUAUUAUUAUUAUUCCAGGUACGCUGAUUACUAUAUUAGUAUCCUGAAGAGAGCAUCUGAGAACGAGAAUUUAGAUUUUCUAAUCGAAGAACGGGACAGACUGCUGGUAUCUGAAGAAGAUGGGUCACGGAGUGUUCGGGAGAAAGACGCCAGUGUGCGCAAACUGAACGUGAUAGCUUACAUCAUGGAGACUUUAGCCGACUACAUCAUAAAACACAUCAGUACAGACGAGCUGAAGAAACUAGAGAAGGAGAAAAAGAAGAGAAGGCGAGAAAAGAAGAAACAGAAAAAGGCCAAGAAGAUACACGUACACGAGGAAUUGUAGACAGACGGGAAAAACUCGUAAAAAUAUUUUGGAAAAGAUUAAAAUCAUUGGGCGGCUGGUGGAAAAGAUAAAAAAUAUUGGGCAUCGUUGAUUGAUGGAAAAGAUAAAAACAUUGAGCGAUUGACGUGAAAAAAUAUAUUGGGCAUCGUUGAUCGCUGGAAAAGAUAAAACAUUGGAUGAUUGGUGGAAAAGAUAAAAACAUGUUUUCGUGGUGGUUAGUGGAAAAGAUGACCAAAACAAAUAUUGGGCGAUUGGAGGGAAAGAUAAACAUUAUUAGCCGAUUGGUUAAAAAGAUAAAAAAUUUGGGUAAUUGGUGGAAAAGAUAAAAACUUUGGUUAAUUAGUGAAAAAGGUAAAAACAUUGGGCGAUUGGUGAAAAAUAUAAAAACAUAUAAUAGGGUCACUGGCGCAAGGACGCGGAAUAAAGAUUGUUUGGGUCAGAUCGGUUAACAGAAAGGAGGAAACGUCUUCCAAGACUGGAUUUCUAAAUUGUUGAAGUACCGACUUUUAUGUGAAAUCUUUCUCUUUUUUCAUAACAGUUAGCGUUAAAAACAUUUUUGUAUGUGGUCACUUUUGUCAGUCACGUCGCAGUGAGGCGCACCGACUUAUAAUAUCGAAAUUCGGAAUGCAUGUGUUAUAUUAUUUUAUCAUUUUGUUAGAAUGAUCGAUGCAUCUGUAGAAAAAAAAUUAGCUUACACUGUACACUUUAAAAUUAUGAUUACAUAUAAAUGUAUAUGACAACCA